rnacentral:rRNA from 1 species
UACGUAGGGAGCAAGCGUUGUCCGGAAUUAUUGGGCGUAAAGGGCUCGUAGGCGGUUUGUUGCGUCGGGAGUGAAAACUUCGAGCUUAACUCGGAGCUUGCUUUCGAUACGGGCAGACUUGAGGCAUUCAGGGGAGAACGGAAUUUCUGGUGUAGCGGUGAAAUGCGCAGAUAUCAGAAGGAACACCGGUGGCGAAGGCGGUUCUCUGGGCCGAUACUGACGCUGAGGAGCGAAAGCGUGGGGAGCGAACAGG